UGGGUAGUAUCUUAUAGAGCUAUACCAGAUUUUUUGCAUUAAAAUUUAUAAUACGACUCAUAUCUAUAUGAAUGAGAUUGAAUU
rfam:Clostridium sp. DL-VIII chromosome, whole genome shotgun sequence.